UACCAGCACCCCGAGUGGUCGUGACGAUUAUUGGGCCUAAAGCAUCCGUAGCCGGUUCUACAAGUCUUCCGUUAAAUCCACCUGCUCAACAGUUGGGCUGCGGAGGAUACUAUAGAGCUAGGAGGCGGGAGAGGCAAGCGGUACUUAGUGGGUAGGGGUAAAAUCCGUUGAUCCAUUGAAGACCACCAGUGGCGAAGGCGGCUUGCCAGAACGCACUCGACGGUGAGGGAUGAAAGCUGGGGGAGCAAACCGG
rnacentral:rRNA from 1 species